CCUACGGGCGUCAGCAGUGAGGAAUAUUGGUCAAUGGGCGAACGUCUGAACCAGCCAAGUAGCGUGAAGGAUGACUGCCCUAUGGGUUGUAAACUUCUUUUAUAAAGGAGUAAAGCGGGCCACGUGUACCUUUUCGGAUUUACUUUAUGAAUAAAGAUCGGGUAAAUCCCUUCCAUGCGCCCCGGUAAUACGGGGGAUCCGACGCGUAUCCGGAUUUAUUUGGGUGAAAAGGAUUGGAGAUGGGGUGGUAAGUCAGUUGGGAAAGUUUGGGGUGCAAACGUAAAAUUGCAAUUGAUACUGGCAGUCUUGAGUACACUUGAGGUAGGCGGAAUUCGUGGUGUAGCGGUGAAAUGCGUAGAUAUCACGAAGAACCCCGAUUGCGAAGGCAGCUUACUAAACUGUGACUGACACUGAUGCUCGAAAGCGUGGGUAUCAAACAGGAUUAGAUACCCGUGUAGUC
rnacentral:rRNA from 1 species